UUUUGCAUUACGCCCAACGGCGGGAAUUUUUUCUCUGAGUGCAUAAGCAAAACAAAUGAAUCAAAACUUUCAACAACGGAUCUCUUGGUUCUGGCAUCGAUGAAGAACGCAGCGAAAUGCGA
rnacentral:rRNA from 1 species